rnacentral:rRNA from 1 species
ACGGAAGGCAGCGGUGGGGGAUAUUGCACAAUGGGCGCAAGCCUGAUGCAGCAACGCCGCGUGAGGGAAGAAGGUUUUCGGAUUGUAAACCUCUGUCCCCGGUGAAGAAGGAAGUGACGGUAACCGGGGUAGGAAGCCACGGCUAACUACGUGCCAGCAGCCGCGGUAAUACGUAGGUGGCGAGCGUUGUCCGGAUUUACUGGGUGUAAAGGGAGCGCAGGCGGGACAGCAAGUUGGAUGUGAAAUACCGGGGCUUAACCACGGAGCUGCAUCCAAAACUGCCGUUCUUGAGUGAAGUAGAGGUAGGCGGAAUUCCGAGUGUAGCGGUGAAAUGCGUAGAUAUUCGGAGGAACACCGGUGGCGAAGGCGGCCUACUGGGCUUUAACUGACGCUGAGGCUCGAAAGUGUGGGGAGCAAACAGGAUUAGAUACCCUGGUA